ACCUUAUGAAGCCAGUUCUCCUAUUAGCCCCAUUUUACAGAUGGGGAGCUGGAACAUUAAUGAGGUUAAGAGGCAUGCCCAGGACUGAAAUACGGAAUAAAUGAGCGAUGAAUUGAGUCUACAGAAAGGCUGCUGUUCAUUCACUGAUUGCCAAGGAGCAGAGGCAUCGGGAGGGGCGGAUGGCAGGAGGAGCUGAAGAUGGUGUUAGAGAAGGCAGGCGAAGAACACCAAGGCUGGACCUGUUCUGAGACACAAGGUUAAGAUACUCAAGUUGCUGUGAUGGAAGCCACCCCAUAGAGAGGUCCACAUGGCAGUGAGGACUUGGGGGCUGCUAACAGCCACAUGACUGAGCCUGGGAGCGGACUAACCCCCAGUUGGACCUUGAGAUGAAGAGUGCAAACUCAUGAGAGACCUCGAGUCAGAUGAACCAACUAGAUCACACUGGAUUCCUGACCUACAGAAGACUAGGAGAACAAACUCUCCAGCCGGCUGCAUUUCCCCUGCCCUUAAGAGACCUGCGGGGAGAACUCUCAAACCCAUACGGCAGUCGUCAAAGCGACACCAAGAGGCCUGACAUUUCCCUGAAGGACACAUUUAGGCACUAUGGUGUCCACCAUUCGUUAAAAUUCAAGUACCCUGGGAAAAGUACUGUAAUAAACCUGUACUGUUACGGAACCCGGACUGGAACCCCCAACUGAAGAACCAAGAGGCAGGUGGAGAUCUUGGAGGACAGAAGGUUUAUUUGACACCGAAGGACUCAGUGAAGAAUGAUCUCCAAAGGUCUGAGCCCAUCCGAGCACAAGCAAGGCCUCCAGUGGAUUGACUGAGGCCCACCCACAUCAGGAAGGACAAUCUGCUCUACAGAGUCUGUUCCCUCAAAUGUUAAUCUCAUCUGGAAACAUCCUCGCAGACAAAACCAGAGUGAUGUCUGAUCAGGUAUGUCAGCAGCCAGUGGUCCAGGCAAGUCAACACCUAAAAUUACGCAGCACAGUGGUCUCACUCAGGUACGAUUAAAGAAACCUCAGUAGUUCCAAGAGCUUGCAUCACUAUGCUUAAGAGUCAAAGCCCCAGGGAAGAGUCUGCUUUGUUGAUAUGAGGUCAUGUGACUGUCCCUAUCCUAUAGAGGUAGUAAGAAAAAUAAUCUGGUGGCAAUACCCAGCACAUAAUAUACGUUCCGUAUCUGGGCAGCUAUUGUUGUAAUUUUUAUCUCUCUCCUCUCUGUGCCUUAUUGUCAGCUCAGUGAGUCAUCCCACAAUGUCCUUACAACCUGGGUAUCCUGAGAACAACCUCCUCAACACCCACCAGCCAAGUUUGCUUCUUUCCCAGCCACAAUAUACACAAUUUAGGUGUUAAACAGUGAUGACAGUUAUUUCAGUUCUUGCCGUCGUGUUUACCAAGCUUUCAAAGUCUUGCCUCCAGGAGA